AUACGGAGGGUCCAAGCGUUAUCCGGAUUCAUUGGGUUUAAAGGGUCCGCAGGCGGGAAAAUAAGUCAGUGGUGAAAGCCUACAGCUCAACUGUAGAACUGCCAUUGAUACUGUUUUUCUUGAGUAUAGAUGAGGUGGGCGGAAUAUAUCAUGUAGCGGUGAAAUGCAUAGAUAUGAUAUAGAACACCGAUUGCGAAGGCAGCUCACUAAACUAUUACUGACGCUCAGGGACGAAAGCGUGGGGAGCGAACAGGAUUAGAAACCCUAGUAGUCC
rnacentral:rRNA from 1 species